rnacentral:snoRNA from 1 species
UGGUCAUUUCAGAGAUGGCUUGUGGGGCUGUAAAAUCAGGAGCUUUUAGAGCUGACCAAAGAUCGUAGUUUUGAGAGUUGCUAGUCACUCAGUAGUGCUGGGUUUUCCUAAGGAAACAAUA